rnacentral:lncRNA from 1 species
UGGAUCUUCACUAAUUUCAGAAUAUAUUACAUACCAACAGGAAUAGGCGAUUAACAAUCAACUAAAGGAAUUUCAGUGUUUAUUACAAUAUCUACUCAAUUACGCUAUAUGAUGAAAUACAUUUCCUUCAAAUUAGUAGUACAAUUACAAACAUAGACAUUCACACUUAUAUCUGAGUGAGCUGAUUUGCAGUGACUCCAAAAACCUCUGAUGCUCUAACGUUUGGCUUUGCGAUUUAUAGAUUUGACCAAUAAGUGGCCAAAUUUAUGAACUGCAGCCGUGUUCAUUGCACUGAUGACUCUUCUUUAUCACGAUUUUACUACCAAACAUUACUUAACAAAGCAUUAGGAACAUAUUUGGACUGAAAUUCAUGCUCAAAGGACAUAAACUAACAAAGACAGCACAUGCUUAGAGGCAUUUGUGAGCAACAGUAAAAUGACAAGGUUGAACUGAUUUCAAUUCAAGUCACUCAAACAUUUUGGAAUAUUUCACAAAAACAUCUAAAACACAACAUAUAUAAACACAACAAACAUCUGAAAUUCACAGAAGAAAACAUAGAAGCUUGAUUAUGCUAAAUUCCAAGUGUACAAAAGUUCAUAGAUGUGUACCUAACCUUGAAACAAGUUAGGAUAAGUCAAAUAAAGGCAGAUAUUGAAGAACGUAGCUCACCCAAACCCCAGAAAAUAGUAGAAAACCAGCUUCCAAUCCUGAAUAUAAUAUAGAAAUCCUUUUCAAAACCUGCUUUUAGGUGUUUCUCUGCGUGUGACUAGUGAAAAUCAGUAAAGGUGAAGGAAUGUGUGAGAAUUCUGCAGAGGAUCAGAACUGUGUGAGUGAAGGAAUGUGUGUCCUUAUAUAGAAUGUGAGGGUGUGUUAUAUGAGAGAAAAAUCUGAAAAAUGUGUCAGCCCUAAAUAUAAGGAAAAGAGCAUCUUUUCCAACAGAUUUUUGUAUAGCUAUUGUUAAGAUAUUCUUUUCUGAUUUUACAGCCCCUUUAACUUCUGAAUUUACCCCUUUUUCACCCCAAAUUUGACCUAAUUCCUUUGUCAUAUUGAAUUUUAAUCCCUUUCUAGAAGCUUCCUACAUAACUACCUAAGAUUCCCUAUUUUUGCUUUCCUAAUUAUCCCCUUAAAUUUCCUGUAUUUACCACUCAUCACCUUUUAAAAACUUUCUUUCAUCUCAUCCAUUAUUUUUAAAAUCACAGGCUUUAUUGAUGGGCCUAAUACAAAAGACUGUAUUGACCUGGGCCCUAACCUACUGCUUCCCUCGUUCUUGACAAACAAACUAGCUCAAAACACCCAAACUUAUAAUGAACCACUAAAGAUGAUUUAAAUCACCAAGCAAUCGCCACUUAAGCAAAAACGCAUACUGAAUUAAGACUAAUUAACCAAAUAGCCUAAACGGCUAAUUAAAAUUCAUCAAUCAAACAAAUAUGAGCAAGAAAAUGUAUGAAAAACUACUAGCUCCUUUAAGGUUUGAAUAACCAAAUCAAACUCGACGGGUUCAAAUAAGGCAAUGAGAUACUGGACUGAAAAACAUUGAGGAGAAUGGGAGGAUUUAUACCUAUUAAGGUCCAAUGGAUUGAUGAAAGCGAUCCCGGCGAGCCAAAGAAGCAGAACGGAAUAAUUGACGAGCAACUUGCCGGCCAACAGUGGUUUGGCCGAAUUUUGAUGGCUUCGAAAUGAGCUAAAACUUACAUUAAUCGAUUGCUCUUGACAAGAGCAAUUGAUCAAUGACAGUUUCAAGUCAAAACGAUUAAGAAUCACUGAAGAAAUCGAAGAGGAAUAAAACUAGGUUUUGAAAUUUCUCAGAUUGGAAAAUAAAGGAAAUCUAUGAUGUUUUGAAUGAAAUUAAGAAGAGAUAUGGGAUGGGGAGAAGACGAGGAUUGUAGGGUAUUAAUUUGAGGGAGUUUGAAGCUUGGCCGCCGGCAGAGAUGGAUUUGGUGAUGAGAGGCGACUAGGGUUGAGAGCGA